AGCCCAUGCCCUGGGAAGUUCAUCCCGAAUAUAUAUAAUCAUCUACGCUCACUGGGGGUGUACAGACUCCGGAGGGGCUCCUUCAGCCCAAGCGCUAUAUAAAGCCAAUAUGGCCUACUGCAGGCGGGCAGUCCUGAUACGUAUAAUAGUAAAGCCUAUAAGGCCUGCUGCAGGUGGGCAACCCCGAUCCAUAAAACAGUAAAGCCUAUAAGGCCUGCUGCAGGUGGGUAGCCCCGAUCCAUAUAAUAGUAAUGUAUAAAGCCAUUAUGGCCUGCUGCGUCGCGCAGCUCAAUCCCAUAAAUAUCCUCACAAUGGAUAAAUAUUACUGAGUGUGAAAUGUAUAUUUUUGAACAAUUAAUUCAACAGCAACACGACCCCAUGGGUCCCAAAAUAUUGGUAUGUAGCCUAAACAUGAUCUUUAAUAGGAGCCUCAGCUCAAUUUCUCUAACACGUGGAGAAUGUUCAGAUAAUAACAUGAUUCAUUAAUCUUACAACUGUACAGGAUUUAUUCAAGACACAAUUUAUAUGGUGCACGUCCACAUGCUCGUCACCUAUAGUGUGUGUCACCUCCAAACAAUUUAUAUCAUACCAAAUUCAGGGAUUCAUACCCUCAGAACCAAGUUUAGAAGUGUUACUUACCUCAAACCGUGUAAUUCUUUACUCCGAUAUGCCUUUGCCUUGUGAAUUGGCCUCCAAACCCCUCGAAUCUAGCCACAAUUAAUUCGAUUCAGUCAAUAAAAUUUAUUGAAAUUAAUUCCAUAAGAAAAUACUAAUUUUCCAUAAAAAUCUGAAAAUUAUCUCAAAAAUCGCCUGUAGGGCCCACAUCUCGGAACUCGACAAAAGUUACAAAAUCCGAAAGCCCAUUCAACCACGAGUCUAACCAUACCAAUUUUACCAAAAUCCGACCUCAACUCAACUAUCAAAUCUUCAAUUUAAACUAAAAGGGUUUUCUAAAUGUUUCAACUUAAUUCACCCAUUAAAUGAUGGAUUCAAAGACAUAAUCAUGAAAAUUAAUCAAAACUGGAUAAGAAUCACUUACCCCAAACACCCACGCAAGAAUCUCUUCAAAAAUCGCCUUCUACCGAGCUCCCAAUUUGAUUUUGUGUUAUGAACUCAAAACCUCCGUUUUGGAACUUUUAAUUCUGCCCAGAAAUUCCUGCAUCGCAUUCGCGAAGCACAAAAAAAUGUGCUGCCAAGAUUCCUUCUUCGCGUUCGCGAUAUCCUCAUCGCGUUCGCGAUGCCUUCAGACCUCUGCCCUUCGCGUUUGCGAGACACGAGAUGCGUUCGCGAAGGCUUAAUUCCAGGCAGGCCCCUAACUCCCUUUCCUCUUCGCGUUUGCGUCUGCCCACUCGCGUUCGCGUAGGCUUUCCCCAGUUCCCUUCUUCGCGUUCGCGUCUUCUUCAUCGCGUUCGCGAUGGGCAAAUCUCAGUCUUCAGAAAUCCUUCUUCGCGAACGCGUGAGACCCUUCGCGUUCGCGAGGAACAAUACCAUAUAUCAGUUCCAGCAAUUGCAAAACAAGGAAAAAUGAUCUGAAACCGUCCCAGAACUCACCCGAGGCCCCUGGGACCUCAACUAAAUAUACCAACAAGUCCUAAAACAUCAUACGAACUUAGUCGAACCCUCAAAUCACUUCAAAUAAUGCUAAAACUCUAAAUUACACCCCAAUUCAAGCCUAAUGAACUUUGAAAUUUCUAAUUUCUACAAACGACGCCGGAACCUAUCAAAUCAUGUCCGAUUGACCUCAAAUUUUACACACAAGUCAUAAAUGACAUAACGGAGGUAUUCAAAUUUUGAGAAUUGGAUUCUGACCCCGAUAUAAAAAAGUCGACCCCUGGUCAAACUUUUCAAAAAUUCAAAUUCGGCAUUUCAAGCCUAAUUCCACUACGAACCUCCAAUUAAUUUUUCGGACACGUUCCUAAGUCCAAAAUCACCAUACGGAGCUAUUGGAAUCAUCCGAAUUCAAUUCCGAGGUCGUUUACUUAUAAGUUAAUAUCCGGUUAACUUUUCCAACUUAAGUUUUCAUUUAUGAGACUAAGUGUCUCAUUUCACUCCGAAAUCCUUCCGGGCCCGAACCAACUAAUCCGAUAAGUCAUAAAUCAAUUGUAAGGCAUAAAUUGAGCAGUAAAUAGGGGAACGGAGAUGAAAUACUCAAAACGAUCAGUCGGGUCGUUAUAUUCUCCCCCACUUAAACAUGCGUUCGUCCUCGAACGUGUCAAGAGUUGUUUCCAAGCCACCAAAUCACUAUUCCAUCUUACCACGCACGUACCCGGGGUGAUCCCAUGUUAUCAUAUUCUGUGUAAAUUGUAUAGGCCUGACAACACAACAUAAUUGAAAAUCAUUACUUCAAUCUUAGCCCAUAAACCUUGGAAUUCAAUUUCCAACAUUCAGAAUUUCUUUUCAAGACCUGAAUCUCACAUCAACACACUGUAUGAGUCUGAACAAGCUGUACCAUGCCAUAACCCUAGCCCCAGAUAUAAUCACUUAACAUACUACACAACUUGCAUACUUGCAGCACCAUUUUCGAUCAUAUUAACUACUCCAAAGUAACCCGGUAAUAGUAUUAAACCCCAUAUCAAACAAAACCUAGUUCUAAAACCUUCGUACACUGCUAAUAAUGAAAGAAACACGAGAAAUCUCAUAACAUCUUAUCAGAUCGACAAGUCAUGGAGCUCUCCCGCCCCAACCAGAACCAUAAUCACUUUCUAAGUCGACCUUCAAUAAUAUCCUCCCUAUAUACCGUAAUGAAACCUGAUAGUAUCCAUUCUAGGUCCAAUAACCUUAUAUUAUUAAACACAACUAUCCCAUUGACAUGCCACACCAAUACAACUCAAUCCAUAACUGCGCAACCUUGUACCCAUAAUGGAAGAUGUCUCAAAGUAGAGAAUCGUAUUGUAAGUUCAACAAGCACCACCACAACUGUAAUGCUAUAAGCUCAUUAUAUAUAGUAGAACCAAGACACACAAAUUUAAUAACAGUAACCAACUCUUUUAGAGCUCACAUUAACAUCACUCGCACGGACAACUCACGUGCUAUAGUAUCAAUAUCUGAACCCGCACGGAGAACUUACGUGCCAAUAAUAUCAAUAAUUUGAAUAUCAACAGUCUAUCAACCAGGAGAGUACCGUAAUACCAAUGCACAUCCGUAAAUCAAAACACAAUGUCCCUUUCAACCGCACACCCUUAUCAGGGAUUACCGAGCAACUAUAACAUUCAUCUAAAUAUAUAACACUAACCAUUCCGUCCAGAAUUUGUGAUCUUCCUUUCAAGAAUGAACUGCCACCUCGCGCAUAUAAAUCUAAAUCCCGCACAACACACCACAUCUAUCACGUGAAAAGCACAAGAAUCUCAUUAUAAACUCUGAGUCACCAGCAAAUUACAUACCCUAUUAGUUGGAAACUUUUCUCUUGCUUCUUUCCCGGAGGAAAUCACAAUGCACAACACGUUCCCCACACCGGUAGAAAAUAUCUUGUUCCAACCAUGGUAGAAACCAUUAAGAACACUUUGAAAUCCAUUUUCACCAAAUCAAGCUAUCAGAACUAAUUUCUUCUAUCUCAUCCAAGCCACGCUGGUCACCAAAACCCAAAAAUACUGCCAUCAAAACAUCUAUAAAGCCUCCACAUCAUUAUUACCCAAAAGAACUGAGCAUGCCAUUACCAUACUGGUCUAGCCUACAACCCAGUGGUCCUAUUUUCUUGGAGGUUCUCCUGAAUUACCCUCAAGUUGACAUUUCUCCUUAUCAGAACACUACUACCCUUAUCCAAAGCUCACUAUAAGACAUCCCAACAUAAAACUACACCGUUCUAAGGUCCAUAAGUCAUCGUAUUCUUCUUAAGCACCACAAAAGUACCACAACCGUAACACUCACUCUGAAAAUACCUUAUAUGAAUUUAAAAUUGUUCUUUUUCCCUUCUUAUACUGGAAUGUGGAAUCCAUAGUCAUACAGAAUUACUGCAAGUCCCGUACCAUCUAGUGUAAUAACCAAUUCUGGCGAUAUACAAAUUCCGAAAAAUUUUCAAUUGACACAUAUACAUUUUGAAUCCAUUAUAUCCCUUUCGAAAGUCACCCACUAUGCUCAAAUCUAAAUUGCACCGUCCGAAAGAGCCACAAGACAUAAGCCCCCAUUAGCACAACAACCCCCAAAGAGUAACCCUAUCUUAACACCACCAAUCAAAUUCAUACUCUGUGCGUACUACAUCCUUCAAAAUAACAAUUUAAUCAUCUCAUGAUUUUUUUCCCAUAAAGUGCAAUAUAACCCGCAUUCAAGAAAUUUUCUUACUCAAGUCAUCCUCGAUCUCAACCUCUGCAAGUCAUAACUAAUCCACAAGUGUACCUCGGAACGAAACCAAUACAGUACAUAAUCGCGCAAUCAAAUCGUAGAUAGCAGACUCCCCCACUUGGUCCAAAUCCAUAUAACAAAAUAUCUGAUAUCUCACCAUACCCAGAUAAUAUCCAAAUUGACCAUACUAAGCAAUAAAAGAUCAACUCUGGUUUCGUCCCCCAAUAAUUUCCACACACGACCGAUACACCCGGUACACAAUUAUAGUAUCGCCCACCGGUGUAGAUACAUGAACAGGUGAAACUAAGGACUCACGAGACAUAUCCAGAAAAUGAACAAAAUAUGAUGAAACAUACGAAUAUGUGGAACCAGGGUCAAAUAAUAUAGAUGCCUCCCUGUAGCACACUGAGACAAUACAUGUGAUCUCUACAUCUGAAGCAACAACAUCUGGUCUGGCAGGAAAAGCAUAGAAUCGGCCCUGACCGCCACUGGAUCGGCCUCCCUCUCUUGGGCGACCUCUAGCUGAUUGAGUCCCACCCCGAGCUGGCUGAGCGGGUGGUGGAGCAACUGAUGCAGAUGUAGUAGCCUGACUCCUCUGUUGAAAUGGACCUCGCGUAUGGCGGGGGCAAUAUUUCCUCACAUGGCCCAGCUCUCCACACUCAUGGCACUCCAUCUCGAAGAAUGAUGGUGAGUUCUGAGGCGGACCUCGGGAACCAGAAUAACUACCAGAAGGACCUGUUACAUAUGAUCCCUAAAUUGAUGGUGCACGGAGCGUACUCGAGGCUGGAAGGGCAUUGAGAGCUGACUUACUCUGAUGAGAACUGUAUGAACCACGGCUGGAUGAUGCACCACGGUGAACUGGACGACCCCUGUUGUGGUAGAACUGCCCUCCAGAAGGUACCCCACCAAAACUGCCCGAACCUCGAGGCCUCUUAGCCUCCCUGUCACCACGCUCCUGGCUACGGACCAUCUCUAUCUGUCGAGCAAUGUCAACCACCUCGUCAAAAGUGGCACCGGAUACCCUCUCCCUAGUCAUAAGUAACCGCAGUUGAUACGUGAGGCCAUCAAUGAACCUCCUAAUCCUCUCCCUAUCAGUGGACACCAACCAAACUACGUGACGAGCCAACUCAGAAAAUCUCAUCUCGUAAUGCAUCACGGACAUGCCAUCUUGACGUAACUGCUCAAACUGUCUGUGCAGCUCCUCUCUACGAGACUGUGGCACAAACUUCUCUAAAAAGAGAAUGGAGAACUCCCGCCAUAUAAGUGGUACUGCACCAAUCGGCAUGCGCCUCUCAUAAGCCUUCCACCUUCUGAAGGCAACCCCAAAAAACUAAAAAGUAGUGAACGAGACUCCACUGGUCUCUAGAAUACCUGUUGUCCGAAGCAUCCACUGGCACUUAUCCAGAAAACCCUGAGUAUCCUCUGACUCAGCACCGCUAAAUGAUGGAGGUCGAAGCCUCCAAAAUCUCUCAAGUCUUCUCUGCUCAUCAUCUGCCUUAACAGGGAUUACCGGGGCCUGAGCGACUGCAACUGGCUGGGCUGGUAGUGCCCCCGGUAUCUGAAGUCCCUGUACUACCUGGUCUGGAGUACGGGCAACAGGGGUAUGAGUACCUCCCCCGGCCUGAGAAGUGGCAGGUGCGGCCUGAGCCGAAACCUCCUGAGCAAGGCCAGUACAAACUCUCAAUAUAUGGGCUAGAGCCUCCUGAAGGCCUGGAAUCACAAUAGGUGUAGCUGGUGCCUGAGCUGGUCCCGCCGGCUCAACUGUAUCCGAAAUAUGCUCCUGAACUGGAGCAACUGGUGGUACUACAGGUGCUGCUUCAACUGCUGCACGAGCUAUACCUCGACCUCUACCUCGGCCACGACCUCUACCACGGCCCCGGCCUCUCGCGUCCCUAACUGGUGGCACUAGUGGCUGACCGUCCAAUCCAGUAAUACGUGUCCUCACCAUAUGUGAGAGAAUAGAAUAACAGGACUUUUAGUUUCCGGAAUCAACAAGUUCGCAUGACUGAAUACAAUAAAGUAAAAUUUUCUAAGGGUCCGGCAGCCUCUCGUAGAUAAGUACAGACGUCUCUGCACCGAUCCGCAAGACCCUACUAAACCUUCUCAUGACUCGUGAGACCUAUGUAACCUAGGCUUUGAUACCAACUUGUCACGACCCAAAAUCUCACCUGUCGUGAUGGCGCCUAUCUCAAUACUAGGCAAGCCGACAAUCUCAAUAAACCACCAUAUCUUUUAAGUUUGAAAACAUGAUAAUUAAAUUCAGCGGAAGAAAUCUCACAAAUACAAAUAUAACACUCUCAAAACCCGGUGUCACUGAGUACAGGAGCAUCUAAUAUGAAUACAAUGUCUGACUGAUAAAAAUCACUGUCUGAAAGUAUAGAACAGUACAAUAACUGAAGGAAAGAGAGACAAAGUCAGCGGACGCCAGGCAGCUACCCUGAUAGUCUCCAACUGGUAACAUACUAAGGUCUAAUAGCCGCCGUGUCCGGAAGCACCUGGAUCUGCACACAAGGUACAGAGUGUAGUAUGAGUACAACCAACUCAAUAAGUAACAAGACUAACCUCUGGGCUGAAAGUAGUGACGAGCUCCGCAGGGACAGUCCAGUAUAAAUAAUGGUACUAAAAUGUAGACAUGCUUUCAAGUGCAACAGUAAAACUCAGUACAAGUGAAAUAGAUCAAUACUGCAUGAUAUGAGGAAUAUGACAUCUCAGUAGAAAGACCUCAUGUAAAUACUGGUCACAAAUUACUCGGUCACUCGGUACUGUUUAUGGCCAAUCCAGCCCAGGGGUGUUCCAACCCGUAUGUAAAUACACAUCGACUAACAGUCAGUCACUCAAUACCGUAUAAGGCCAAUCCAGCCCUGGGAUAAUUUUAUCCCCAAAUAUAAUUGAUACGGACAAGAUCCAUGUCCAGGUAAACUCAUUAUAAUACAAAUAAGUAAGGCAAGUCCAUGCCCUGGGAAAUCCAUCCCGAAUAUAUAUAAUCAUCUAAGUAAGGCAAGUCCAUGCCCUUGGAAGUCCAUCCCGAAUAUAUAUAAUCAUCUACGCUCACUAGGGGUGUACAGACUCCGGAGGGGCUCCAUCAGCCCAAACGCUAUAUAAAGCCAAUAUGGCCUACUGCAAGCGGGCAGUCCCGAUCCGUAUAAUAAUAAAGCCUAAAGGUCUGCUACAGGCGGGCAUCCCUGAUUCAUAAAAUAGUAAAGCCUAUAAGGCCUGCUGCAGGCGGGUAGUCCCGGUCCAUAUAAUAAUAAUGUAUAAAGUUAUUAUGGCCUGCUGCGUCGCGCAGCUCAAUCCCAUAAAUAUCCUCACAAUGGACAAAUAUUACUGAGUGUGAAAUAUAUACUUUUGAACAAUUAAUUCAACAGCAACACGACCCCAUGGGUCCCAAAAUAUUGGCACGUAGCCUAAACAUGAUCUUUAGUAGGAGCCUCAGCUCAAUUUCUCUAACACGUGGAGAAUGUUCAGAUAAUAAUAUGAUUCAUUAAUCUUACAACUGCACAGGAUUUAUUCAAGGCACAAUUUAUAUGGUGCACGUCCACAUGCUCGUCACCUAUCAUGUGUGUCACCUCCAAACAAUUUAUAUCAUACCAAAUUCGGGGAUUCAUACCCUCAGAACCAAGUUUAGAAGUGUUACUUACCUCAAACCGUGUAAUUCUUUACUCCGGUAUGCCUUUGCCUCGUGAAUUGGCCUCCAAACCCCUCGAAUCUAGUCACAAUUAAUUCGAUUCAGUCAAUAAAAUUUAUUGGAAUUAAUUCCAUAAGAAAAUACUAAUUUUCCAUAAAAAUUCGAAAAUUAGCUCAAAAAUUGCUUGUGGGACCCACGUCUCGGAACUCGAUAAAAGUUAUAAAAUCCGAAAGCCCAUUCAACCACGAGUCUAACCAUACCAAUUUUACCAAAAUCCGACCUCAACUCGACCCAAAAAUCUUCAAUUUAAACCAAGAGGGUUUUCUAAAUGUUUCAACUUAAUUCACCCAUUAAAUGAUGGAUUCAAAGACAUAAUCAUGGAAAUUAAUCAAAACUCGAUAAAAAUCACUUACCCCAAACACCCACGCAAGAAUCUCUCCAAAAAUCGCCUUCUACCGAGCUCCCAAUUUGAUUCCCCGUUUUGGAACUUUUAAUUCUGCCCAGAAUUUCCUUCAUCGCGUUCGCGACCAUAGAUUCGCGUUCGCGAAGCACAAAAAAAAUGUCCUGCCAAGAUUCCUUCGCGUUCGCGAUAUCCUCAUUGCGUUCCCGAUGCCUUCCGAUCUCUGCCCUUCGCGUUCGCGAGACACGAGACGUGUUCGCGAAGGCUUAACGCCAGGUAGGCCCCCAACUCCCUUUCCUCUUCGCGUGUGCAUCUGUCCACUCACGUUCGCGUAGGCUUUCCCCAGCUCCCUUCUUCGCGUUCGCGUCUUCUUCAUCGCGUUCGCGAUGGGCAAAUCUCAACCGUCCAAAAUCCUCCUUCACGAACGUGUGAGACCCUUCGUGUUCACGAAGAACAAUACCAGAUAUGAGUUCCAGCAGUUGCAAAACAAGGAAAAAUGAUCCGAAACCGUCUCGGAACUCACCCGAGGCCCCCGGGACCUCAACCAAAUAUACCAACAAGUCCUAAAACAUUAGAUGAACUUAGUUGAACCCUCAAAUCGCCUCAAACAAUGCUAAAACCAUGAAUUACACCCCAAUUCAAGCCUAAUGAACUUUGAAAUUUCUAAUUUCUACAAACGACGCCGGAAUCUAUCAAAUCAUGUCCGAUUGACCUCAAAUUUUGUACACAAGUCAUAAAUGACAUAACAGAGGUAUUCAAAUUUUGAGAAUCGGAUUCCGACCCUGAUAUCAAAAAUUCAACUUUCGGCAUUUCAAGCCUAAUUCCAUUACGAACCUUCAAUUAAUUUUUCGAACACGCUCCUAAGUCCAAAAUCACCAUACGGAGCUAUUGGAAUUAUCAGAAUUCAAUUCCGAGGUCGUUUACUCAUAAGUCAAUAUCCGGUCAACUUUUUCAACUUAAGUUUUCAAUUAUGAGACUAAGUGUUUCAUUUCACUCCGAAAUCCUUCCGGGUCCGAACCAACUAACCGAUAAGUCAU
rnacentral:lncRNA from 1 species